UAGCUCAGUGGACAGAGCAGCCGCCUUCUAAGCGGAAGGUCGCAGGUUCGAAUCCU
rnacentral:tRNA from 1 species